ensembl:lncRNA
GAUCACAGAAAAUUUGAUGGCUCCAACCAUCUGGCAUUCUUGAUCUUUUCUAAGAGGGUUUCAGUGUUGGUCUGUUCACACACAUCUAAACUCCAGAGCAAAGAUGAACUGUCUGGUCACUACGCCAGCCACUUUCACGGAUAUGCAUCACCUCAGCAGCAGAGGAAAGAACACUUCCCAGAAGUGAAGGAAGUUGACUUCGGGGGCCAGACUCUGCAACUGAUAGUUGUGUGACUUUGGUAAACCUUUCAAGAUGGGACUCUGACCCAAUUAUUGAAGGAGCCUGACUAGAUUAGGGGUAACAAAUUUGACACCUACGGACAGGUUUCAUUGCAAGACAAAUCCAUUGUGUUUUGUCAGCCUUCAAAAUGCCAGAUAGGCAGAACAUUCACUUUCUAGUAUAUCAUAGCCCUACUCCUUCAUCAGAAAACAGCAAAAUUCUGUAAAGCAAUUAUCCUUCAAUAAAAAUAAUAAAUUAAAAAAAGAAAAGAAUAUCUUUUCUAAAUUCAUA